rnacentral:lncRNA from 1 species
UAAGAACUACCACCUUCAAAAUGUUGUAAUAAAAAAUUCAAAAGAGCAUCCAACCUCUUGUAUUGUAAAUCAAAAGCCACUUUGUAAGACUUUAAUAAAAUUACUUUCUUCCUCCAACUAUCUUGUUCAAUUAAAUACUCAUAUCAUUUCUAUCCCACAUAAAAUUUAUUUAACCACUUUUAUCUAAACUCAUUUAUUUCUUCUACUCAAAAUAAAAUCCAUCAGUGGUAUCAGAACCAGGUUCGAUUGAUAUUGGGCGUAAGCACAUACUAUGGUACAUGCUUUCUGUUCAUCCAUUCCUAUUCCAAUAGUUAAUGGAGACAACUAUAAUUUUUGUUCCAUUGAAAUGAAGAUCUACUUUUGUACGCAAAACUAAUGGGAUGUCGUUAAUGAUGGGUAUACUAAUCCAGAUGACAUUUCCACUCUAUCUAUCACACAAAAGAAGGAACUUAAAGAGAAUCAACAAAAAGAUUCUCUAGUACUACUUGCUGUACAAAUGACUUUGAUGGACACUUAUUCUUCAAGAAUCAUAGGAAUCAAAACGGCAAAAGAAGCUUGUGAUAAAUUGAAGGAGGAGUUUCAUGGCAGUGACAAGGUAUGCACUUGCCGUCUUCAAACUUUAGGAAUGAAUUUGGAAAAUUUAAAAAUGAAAGAUUCUGAAACCGCGAAAGAUUAUUAUUCAAGAAUAGAUGAAAUAGUAAAUCAAUUAAGAUCUUAUGGAGAUAAUGUUUCUCAAUAGAAAGUCUUUGGAAAAAUUUUAAUGACUUGCAUAGAAAAAUAUGAUCCAAUUAUUGCAGCUGUUGAGGAGUCAAAAGAUAUAAAAGAAUUGAGAGCUACAGAAUUAAUGGGUUCAUUAGAAGCACAUGAAAAAUAUUUAGAAAGACGUUAUGAGAUUAAUACGGAAAAUGCAUUUCAAUCGAAAGUUAAUAUGAGGUUUUAGAAAUUUAAAGAAGGUGGGAGAAAAUUUAAGAAAAUUGUAAAAAUAAAGAAACUCAAGGAAAAUAAUUUGAUAAAAGCGGUAAUUAUCCUUCAUGUGCUAUAUGUAAAAGAAAAAAGUCAUUUGGAGAAGGAUUGUUAGUUCAAAGGAAAACCACAGUGUCCUCACUGUAAAAAAUUUGGUCACGAAUAAAAAUUUUAUCGUUUUAAACAAAAUUAUCAAGCUAAUUUCUCCGAAGAAAAUGAUAUAGAAGGAAAUCUAUUUUAUGCCACUAUCAAGGAUGCAUCUGAUGACAAAUUGGAUACGUGACAUCUAGAGAGUGAUUAUAGUAAUCAUAUGACGAAAGAUGAAAGUAUUUUCUGCAAUCUUGAUAAAACCAAGGCAAAAAUCAAGAUUGGUAAUGAAAAUUUCAUAGAGCCAACAUGCAAAUGUACUAAUGCUGUUAAUACAAAAAAGUACAAGAGAUAAUCAAUGAAGUUCUCUUAGUCCCUACAAUAGACCAGAAUUUACUAUGUGCAGUCAUAUGAUGGAGAAAGGAUAUAGUUUACAUUUUGAAAGAAAUUCUUGCACGAUCUCUGAUAAAAAAGAUAAAUAUCUUAUAAUUGCAAAAGUCAAAAAAGGGGAAAACAGAUGUUUUCCAAUUCAAUGGAGAUAUGCAAACAAUGCAGCAAUAACAGCACGAGUAGAUGAGUCAUGGCUGUGGUACAAAAGAUUUGGACAUUUUCCACUUCCACAAGUUGAAGAUCUUGCAGCAAAAGAACAUGAUGAGAGACUUACCAGUUAUAAAAGAGAUUGAUGCAGCCACCUCCAAGGUCAUAAUCUAUUCUUCCCACCACAAUCACCACCAAACAACUCCAAUAAAUUCGUAAGUUGCAGCAUAAGUAAUCACUUAUUUUACUUUUGUCUAGAGCCCCUCACUUAAUUCUAUCCCUCCAACCGCUACAACAAUAGAUCCACCACAAAGAAAGCUAACUUUACUAGGGGUUGGUUUUAUAGUCACUUUAUACACAAUUGAUGCUCGAGAAAUACCCUUUCUACUAAGCAAGAAUUAUUUUAGGUCGAUGCAUGAGCUAGAAAAGACGCUUAAUAUCUAUAAUUUUUUUUAUUGAGCAUGUGUUUGAGGGGGAAGAAAUUGGAGAAGGUUGUGCAGAAUGAAUACUAUAAAAUAUUUAAAAUUGUUUGGGCAAAGACCUUUUCUAAAUUUACUUGUAUUGGCGGUUGUCAGCACUGGUGGUAGGUGGAGUUGUGGUGGCGGUGGCUAGGUGGGGUGGGGAAGGUGUUCUUAUAUUUAUUUUUAUUUUUUGAUUUUCUUAAUUUAAUUUUUAGCUUAUUUAUGUGGAAAAUGGGAAAGUUGUCAUUUUACUGUUUUUAGAUUUGGUCAAAAUCAAAUUUCUUGGUCAACUAACAGUCAAUUCAUCUAUUUGUCCUUGUAUUGCAACAAAAUGAAAUGUUUAGGUUUGUGGGCACCGAUGAAUCUAGCUUCUAGCAUGAACACGGACUAAUAC